ensembl:processed_transcript Snhg1 small nucleolar RNA host gene 1
GAGGACCUUUUCACAGACCUGUACUGAUAUAUCUGUGAGGAUAAGUAACUCUGAGGAGGCUGGCCCUACAUCACAGCCUUCUCAUCCUUUAGAGAUUUCUUGGUGUAGAAGUAACCCGAUGCUAACUUCUCUACAGGUUUGAGGUGCCACCUUACAAAAGGAUGGGUGUACGCUCUCUUUUCAGAAUGUGGUUCAUCUCAAAGCCCUUUACACUUUGGAGCCAGGCCUGUUCAAUUUUACAAAUAACACGUUUUGCUUGUAGUCAGGGUGCUGUGACAACAUGAAGAGUUCGAGCUACCUCCCAGGAUGAGUGCAGGUUUUCCUGGUGACAAAUCUCAGGCAUUCAAAGGUUCUGUUAGCAGUGCCAUACUUGUGGGUUUACAGAGAUGGUGUGUCUGGCUGAGAACAAAGGAGCCGUACCAGGGAAGUUGAAGCCUAUCUUCAUUUUCAAGUGCAGGCUAAAAUAAGGUCUGAGGAAAAGAAUGAGCAGCGUGUGAAGGAUAGGAACAGAAAUCAUGGAAGAUCUGUUUGUCCAGGCCAGUGUUUCACCAUAAGAGAUCACUUUAAAAUAAAUGAGAUGAAAUAAUUCUUUGCAAUUGCAAAUUUACCUUCCUUGCUUACCACAUUGUUAACUGUAGGGACUGAUAAUCUGGUUCUUCCACUAUUAACUUGUACUCUGUGUUCUAGCAAUAAAUGCUCUUUAUGCUA